rnacentral:rRNA from 1 species
UACAGAGGUCUCAAGCGUUGUUCGGAUUCAUUGGGCGUAAAGGGUGCGUAGGCGGUAGGGUAAGUCUGGUGUGAAAUCCUGGAGCUUAACUUCAGAAAUGCACUGGAUACUGCCCUGCUAGAGGACUGGAGAGGAGAUUGGAAUUCACGGUGUAGCAGUGAAAUGCGUAGAUAUCGUGAGGAAGACCAGUGGCGUAAGCGAAUCUCUGGACAGUUCCUGACACUGAGACACGAAGGCCAGGGGAGCAAACGGG